GAUGGUGGUCCUUACUCCCCACCUGCGUCACCACCUGGAAGCGGCUGCUUGGGAAGAACACGUAGGAGCCGAUGGCCACGAAGCUCCCGUCCUCGCUGCGAACCCAAGACACCUAGAUGAAGGGUUGCUGCUGCUGGUGGCAAGUUGUUCGCCUCAAGUACCAGCUUUGUGGACGAUAUACUUGAAGCAGCUGGAGUAGCAGUAAAUACCAACGAACGUCAGAGGAAGCUAAACGAAUAUCAGACGGUUCAUUGAACACCAGAGGACGCCCACAGACACCACCACAUACAAAUAAACGCCACGACACACCCCUAGACAGAAACGACAGUUGACGGCACCGAGAGACAGGUGCGAGCACGAGAAAACUCCAGCGGACACUGACGGAGUACCGCAGGGGAAACACGCCCACUAUUCCCAGCCUAUCCACCACCACAGAAUAUCAACCUUUACCCUCAUUCCAACCAACUUUCGCUUUGGGAAUCGAGCAAACUCCCCCUACAAUGCUCACCUGGUCCGGCCAACUACAGCCAGCCAGGAGAAGGCAAAGUGUUCAGUCGUUGUAAUGAACAUGUAUAACAACGGAAUUAAUAGGGCACUGCCCAUCACCACUGGUCUUCUGAUCUAAGAAUCAAUGCAAGGCGUCAUGAGAAAGGGCUCUAGAUUCAAUUUAAAUUGAACUAUUAAAUUGCUACCUCAGA